CCUACGGGAGGCAGCAGUGAGGAAUAUUGGUCAAUGGGUGCGAGCCUGAACCAGCCAAGUCGCGUGAGGGAGGACGGCCCUACGGGUUGUAAACCUCUUUUGCCGGGGAGCAACGGGCGCCACGUGUGGCGCCACUGAGAGUACCCGGAGAAAAAGCAUCGGCUAACUCCGUGCCAGCAGCCGCGGUAAUACGGAGGAUGCGAGCGUUAUCCGGAUUUAUUGGGUUUAAAGCGUGCGUAGGCGGAUCGUUAAGUCAGUGGUCAAAUUGAGGGGCUCAACCCCUUCCCGCCAUUGAAACUGGCGAUCUUGAGUGGAAGAGAAGUAUGCGGAAUGCGUGGUGUAGCGGUGAAAUGCAUAGAUAUCACGCAGAACCCCGAUUGCGAAGGCAGCAUGCCGGCUUCCGACUGACGCUGAAGCACGAAAGCGUGGGGAUCGAACAGGAUUAGAUACCCCUGUAGUC
rnacentral:rRNA from 1 species